AUUGUACUAAAAUGGCGGCCAGUUAUUUAAUGUUCAUACAGUUCUAAUAUAUGUGUAAUGUUUGAUCGCUGUUGUUAUUUAGUCAGGCGUCAGUCACACACCUAUUGUUAGGACCCCAAUGUCUAAAGGACCCGGAUGCUGACGCAGCUUCACAGCAGAUAUGAUCGCUAUCAUUAUAACUAGCGUGUGACGAUUCUAACGGUGAUGAUAAUGCCAGUUCUCCCGCAAUAUUGAGUUAUCGCAUGUGUGCGUGCAUCAAAGAAACCACACUUAAUUAAAUAUUGUUCCAUUUGCAAUGAGUGGUCUUUGAGUGGUGUGUGCAUCUAGCUCCUUCUAAACGGACAUCAUCUAAUUUAAUUGUUCUGAUCGGACAAGUUUCAGUGGUUUCCAUCGUUUAUUAAUUAGCACCUAAGAGCAGAACAAUAUUUUACAAUAAUC